CGUAAACGUUUCCAACAACAACAACAAAAUAAUUUUUGGACAAUUUCAAUUCGUAUAUUCUUUUUGUUUUUAAUGUGUGAUAUAUUCUGAAUAUGUACAGUCAGCUGCUAUUUUGUAUGACGACUGCCACGACUACCAGUAACAUCAUACAACACACACAUACACACAGCAAAAAUUCAGAAUCCACAUGCUUACAAGCCAUUAUUCUUAUAUUUGAGAAUUUAUAAAAAUUGAUGACGAUUGACGACUACACAAAGGAUUUAUCAACAAAUCAUUUAUGGUUUGUCAACAUCAAACAAGAAUUUAACAUUUAAUAUAAACGAUAUUCGAAUAAUCGAUAUAUCGGAUGACAAUCGAUUCGAAUCGAAUACUUCAAUUUUGAGAUAUGAAUGAUGAUAUAUACUAUCACACAAAAGCAGAUAAAUUAUUUCGGAUGCUAUGUGGAUCAUUAAACAUAUAAAUCCAUAUCAACAUCAUCAUCAUCAUAACCAUAGCUAUAAAUGAUAACAUCAAAAAACGACAACGACGACUAUCAGUAGCAACAGCAGUGAAAGCAGCUAACCCCAAACGCAAAGGAAAAUAUAAAUACAAAAUCCAAUUGACGGCAAUCACAAUUCAACCAGAAAAAGCCACACACACACACGUAUUUUUUCUGGAUUUAUAAUCAAAAAUAAUCAUUGAAAAAAAAAUGUAAUAACGAACGGCAAUCUAUAUAUUUAUCCACCACCAACAACAAAAAAUUAUCAACAAAAAAAAUAAUAAUAUCGACCACAACAGCACCCAAUAACAAAAACAAAAAUCUACAUUGCAAUCAAACCGACCGAAAGAAAAACAAAACAAAACAAAACCACCAUCAUUGAUGAAUGCGCAAUAUGUACAUUUAACAUCAGCUUUGUCCACACACAUACACAAACUAAGACGCCAUUAUCUUCAUCAUCAUCAUCAUCAAAAAAAGAAUAAAAUAAUCAAUGUUUAUAUGUGUGUGUAUACAUGAUAUACCUGUGUGUGUAUGUGAUUUGGAUACGUCUACAUUUUGUUGAAAGUCGCAAUCAUAAAAUCAACUUUUGUCGACUGUUGAUGAUGACUACGACGACGACGACGACGAUAGAUAGAUAGAUUGACAGAUAAAAUAGACAUCAUCCAUCCA